GCGCGGGUGGUGGAACGGUAGACACGCAGCCUUGAGGUGGCUGUGCUCGCAAGAGCGUGGAGGUUCAACUCCUCUCCCGCGCACCG
rnacentral:tRNA from 1 species